rnacentral:rRNA from 1 species
UUCCGGUUGAUCCUGCCGGAGGUCACUGCUAUUGGGAUUCGGCUAAGCCAUGCAAGCGGAGGGCGCGGUCGAAAGAUCGUGGCCCCACACACUGCUCAGUAACACGUAGUCAACCUACCCUUGGGACGGGGACAACCUCGGGAAACUGAGGCUAAUCCCCGAUAGGUGAGGGACGCUGGAAUGCCUCCUCGCCCAAAGCUCCGGCGCCCAAGGAUGGGACUGCGGUCUAUCAGGCUGUUGGUGGUGUAACGGACCACCAAACCUACGACGGGUACGGGCGAUGGGAGUCGGAGCCCGGAGAUGGGGACUGAGACAAGGCCCCAGGCCCUACGGGGCGCAGCAGGCGCGAAAACUCCGCAAUGCGUGCAAGCGUGACGGGGGAAUCCCAAGUGCCGUUGGUCUUAUGAUCGACGGUUUUUAGGAAGUCUAAGAAGCUUCCAGAAUAAGGGCUGGGCAAGACUGGUGCCAGCCGCCGCGGUAACACCAGCAGCCCAAGUGGUGACCACGAUUAUUGGGCCUAAAGCGCUCGUAGCCGGAUCAGCAAGUCCCUUGUGAAAUCGGGCCGCCUAACGGUUCGGCGUGCAAGGGAUACUGUUGGUCUUGAGGCCGGGAGAGGUCGGAGGUACUCCUGGGGUAGCGGUGAAAUGCUCUAAUCCUAGGGGGACCACCAGUGGCGAAGGCGUCCGACCAGAACGGACCUGACGGUGAGGGGCGAAAGCUAGGGGAGCGAACGGGAUUAGAUACCCCGGUAGUCCUAGCUGUAAAGCAUGCGGGCCAGGUGUCUAGCGCUCCUUGAGGGCGCUAGGUGCCCGGAGGGAAGCCGUUAAGCCCGCCGCCUGGGAAGUACGGCCGCAAGGCUGAAACUUAAAGAAAUUGCGGGGGAGCACCACGAGAGGUGGGACCUGCGGUUCAAUUGGAUUCAACGCCG